rnacentral:rRNA from 1 species
UACGUAGGGGGCAAGCGUUGUCCGGAAUCAUUGGGCGUAAAGAGCGUGUAGGCGGCCCGAUAAGUCCGCUGUGAAAGUCCAGGGCUCAACCCUGGGAUGCCGGUGGAUACUGUCGGGCUCGAGUCCGGAAGAGGCGAGUGGAAUUCCUGGUGUAGCGGUGAAAUGCGUAGAUAUCGAGAGGAACACCAGUGGCGAAGGCGGGUCUCUGGACGAUUCCUGACGCUGAGGCACGAAAGCCAGGGGAGCAAACGGG